GACGAACGCUGGCGGCGCGCCUAACACAUGCAAGUCGAACGAGCGAGAGAGAGCUUGCUUUCUCAAGCGAGUGGCGAACGGGUGAGUAACGCGUGAGGAACCUGCCUCAAAGAGGGGGACAACAGUUGGAAACGACUGCUAAUACCGCAUAAGCCCACGACCCGGCAUCGGGUAGAGGGAAAAGGAGCAAUCCGCUUUGAGAUGGCCUCGCGUCCGAUUAGCUAGUUGGUGAGGUAACGGCCCACCAAGGCGACGAUCGGUAGCCGGACUGAGAGGUUGAACGGCCACAUUGGGACUGAGACACGGCCCAGACUCCUACGGGAGGCAGCAGUGGGGAAUAUUGCACAAUGGGGGAAACCCUGAUGCAGCGACGCCGCGUGGAGGAAGAAGGUCUUCGGAUUGUAAACUCCUGUUGUUGAGGAAGAUAAUGACGGCACUCAACAAGGAAGUGACGGCUAACUACGUG
rnacentral:rRNA from 1 species